GACGAACGCUGGCGGCGUGCCUAAUACAUGCAAGUUGAGCGCUGAAGGUUGGUACUUGUCCCGACUGGAUGAGCAGCGAACGGGUGAGUAACGCGUGGGGAAUCUGCCUUUGAGCGGGGGACAACAUUUGGAAACGAAUGCUAAUACCGCAUAAAAACUUUAAACACAAGUUUUAAGUUUGAAAGAUGCAAUUGCAUCACUCAAAGAUGAUCCCGCGUUGUAUUAGCUAGUUGGUGAGGUAAAGGCUCACCAAGGCGAUGAUACAUAGCCGACCUGAGAGGGUGAUCGGCCACAUUGGGACUGAGACACGGCCCAAACUCCUACGGGAGGCAGCAGUAGGGAAUCUUCGGCAAUGAACGAAAGUCUGACCGAGCAACGCCGCGUGAGUGAAGAAGGUUUUCGGAUCGUAAAACUCUGUUGGUAGAGAAGAACGUUGGUGAGAGUGGAAAGCUCAUCAAGUGACGGUAACUACCCAGAAAGGGACGGCUAACUACGUG
rnacentral:rRNA from 1 species